rnacentral:lncRNA from 1 species
AUCCAAUGUGUUAGCUCUCGCAUUCAGCCCUUGGCAGGGUCAAUUAUUCAUUUAGGUCGACCGAUCAGACUUGGAACACGACCAGUUGCCACCCGAUCUGGCCAUACGACGCCCUAAAACUGGAUAGGGCGUGCACCGGGAAAACUCGCACAAUUUGCCAUUCAGUUUUCAGGGAAAAAAAAUAGUUAAGCUAGAUAUGUAACACCUGACCUGUUUACUGCAACAUUCAGAUAACCCAAAAAAAAAGAACACCCUGAAACUAACCUGUUUACUGCAACAUUCAGAUAACCCAAAAAAAAAGAACACCCUGCAACAUUCAGAUACUUUCAUCUAUUUGAGCUAUUGGUUCAAGCAGAGUUCUUCUGUUUGAGAUACCUUGAGAUCAUGAGCAGCAGGGCAUUUAGAUACCUUCAACAAACUAGGGUAAAAGAAGAGCAGAAAGAAGACACUAAUUUUGCCAAUUCUGAUAAAAGCAAUAAUAAGUAGUGACAAUACUAUAUAACUGAAGAACCAAUACCCAGCUCUUCACUAAUAUAGGCAUUACUAGUUUCAGCAAUGAAAAAAAAAAAGAAUCUCUGAGCAGAAGCAUCCUGCUCGGCUG